ensembl:lncRNA
UGAGGGCCUCUGACCUGUGACUUACACCAACGCUACCGUGUUAUUUUACAGUUCUGCAAGGAUUGCUAGUUUCUCUCUGGUUACAACAAUUACAACUGACAGUGCAGGUUGCUAUGGUAACAAAUGGUACUUGUGUCUCCAAUGGUUGCUGGUACUACAAGUAUGGACUCCCACUAAUUAACUUACCGUGUGGAACGGGGACUGUUAAGAUACUUAGUAUUUAUUAAAACAGUUAGUAUCACGACACUGUUAUUACUCAAAACCACAUUUGAUUUAUGCCUUGGCAGUUUCAAUGGACCUGGUAGGGUCCUGGAGUUACUCAGGGGGUUGGAUUCUUAUCUGUUAUUGCCACAAUAUCACUGAAGCCAACAAUACCAAUCCUCACACGGGUCGCACCAAAUUAUGUAGGUGAAACCGGGGUUAUUACAUUAAGUUAAUUAAAUCAGUCUCAUAAAAUUUAAUAAUCAUUAAAUUUAGUAUUUAAUUACUAAACAAUGGAAAGCUCUAGUUGUAUCACUAUGCUACAGUCUAAGUAUGGUAUCACAAUACUAAAGUACUACAAUAUCACUACACAGUCUAUAACACUUCAUGAAACAACUAGAAAAGUGAAGGCAUUUGAAGUACUUGAUUGGCGAAAAAUGGCUUUCAGUGUAAUAUUGGAACAAUAACAGGCA